rnacentral:rRNA from 1 species
CAAGCCUGAUGCAGCCUGCCGCGUGUGUGAAGAAGGCCUUCGGGUUGUAAAGCACUUUCAGUCAGGAGGAAAGGUUAGUAGUUAAUACCUGCUAGCUGUGACGUUACUGACAGAAGAAGCACCGGCUAACUCCGUGCCAGCAGCCGCGGUAAUACGGAGGGUGCGAGCGUUAAUCGGAAUUACUGGGCGUAAAGCGUACGCAGGCGGUUUGUUAAGCGAGAUGUGAAAGCCCCGGGCUCAACCUGGGAACUGCAUUUCGAACUGGCAAACUAGAGUGUGAUAGAGGGUGGUAGAAUUUCAGGUGUAGCGGUGAAAUGCGUAGAGAUCUGAAGGAAUACCGAUGGCGAAGGCAGCCACCUGGGUCAACACUGACGCUCAUGUACGAAAGCGUGGGGAGCAAACGGGAUUAGAUACCCCGGUAGUCCACGCCGUAAACGAUGUCUACUAGAAGCUCGGAGCCUCGGUUCUGUUUUUCAAAGCUAACGCAUUAAGUAGACCGCCUGGGGAGUACGGCCGCAAGGUUAAAACUCAAAUGAAUUGACGGGGGCCCGCACAAGCGGUGGAGCAUGUGGUUUAAUUCGAUGCAACGCGAAGAACCUUACCUACACUUGACAUACAGAGAACUUACCAGAGAUGGUUUGGUGCCUUCGGGAACUCUGAUACAGGUGCUGCAUGGCUGUCGUCAGCUCGUGUUGUGAGAUGUUGGGUUAAGUCCCGCAACGAGCGCAACCCCUAUCCUUAGUUGCUAGCAGGUAAUGCUGAGAACUCUAAGGAGACUGCCGGUGAUAAACCGGAGGAAGGUGGGGACGACGUCAAGUCAUCAUGGCCUUACUGUAGGGCUACACACGUGCUACAAUGGCGCAUACAGAGUGCUGCGAACUCGCGAGAGUAACGAAUCACUUAAAGUGCGUCGUAGUCCGGAAUGGAGUCUGCAACUCGACUCCAUGAAGUCGGAAUUCGCUAGUAAAUCGCGU